UACAGAGGGGGCAAGCGUUGUUCGGAUUCACUGGGCGUAAAGGGUGCGUAGGUGGCUUGAAAAGUUUGAUGUGAAAGCUCAGGGCUUAACCCUGAAAUGGCAUUGAAUACUGUCGGGCUGGAGGUUUGGAGGGGGGACUGGAAUUCUUGGUGUAGCAGUGAAAUGCGUAGAUAUCAAGAGGAACACCAGUGGCGAAGGCGAGUCCCUGGACAACACCUGACACUGAGGCACGAAAGCUAGGGGAGCAAACAGG
rnacentral:rRNA from 1 species